ACGAACGCUGGCGGCAGGCUUCACACAUGCAAGUCGAACGCCCCGCAAGGGGAGUGGCGCACGGGUGAGUAACGCGUGGAUAUCUGCCUUUUGGUUCGGAAUAACCCCGGGAAACUGGGGCUAAUACCGGAUGGUUCCUACGGGAUAAAGAUUUAUCGCCAAAAGAUGAGUCCGCGUACGAUUAGCUAGUUGGUGAGGUAAUGGCUCACCAAGGCGACGAUCGUUAGCUGGUCUGAGAGGACGAUCAGCCACACUGGGACUGAGACACGGCCCAGACUCCUACGGGAGGCAGCAGUGGGGAAUAUUGGACAAUGGGGGCAACCCUGAUCCGGCCAUGCCGCGUGAGUGAUGAAGGCCUUCGGGUUGUAAAGCUCUUUUGGCGGGGACGAUGAUGACGGUACCCGCAGAAUAAGCCCCGGCUAACUUCGUG
rnacentral:rRNA from 1 species